AUUUAAGUAGUUUAAAUAAAAUAUUGAUUUGUGGAAUCAAAGAUGUAAAUUAAUAUCUUAAAUA
rnacentral:tRNA from 1 species